rnacentral:rRNA from 1 species
UACGGGGGGAGCAAGCGUUGUUCGGAUUACUGGGCGUAAAGGGCGCGUAGGCGGCAAUUCAAGUCAUCUGUGAAAUCUCCGGGCUUAACCCGGAAAGGUCAACUGAUACUGCGGGGCUAGAGUGCAGAAGGGGCAACUGGAAUUCUCGGUGUAGCGGUGAAAUGCGUAGAUAUCGAGAGGAACACCUGCGGCGAAGGCGGGUUGCUGGGCUGACACUGACGCUGAACUGCGAAAGCUAGGGGAGCGAACGGG